CCUGCAUUGCCAGCUUCAUCUCUCCAUCACCAUGUGCUCUGCCUAAUUUCCCAAAUAUUCUGUUCCCUGCUUCUUUCCAGGUUUCUGUUUACCCUGCUCCUCCAGCCUGAGUUCCUUUUUUUUCUCCAUUCUGCUUGUUGAACUCCUGCCAAACUCCGAUUUUGACAUCAAAGCCCACCUUGAAUGCUGCUUGUCUCUAAAGCCAUCGCUGGCAUUUCCAGACAUUGUCAAUAUCUACUGGACUAAAGAAAUUCUCUACUAAUCAGAAAAGGAAUUGGUCUGUAUUGAAGCUGGAAAGAAAAUCAGAGGAGCCAAUGCUGUCAGAGUCCAUCCAAGGGCCAUUUAAAGAUGUCCUGGCCAGAGGUCUGGGCUGUCAGGUCCUGCCAGCAGGGACACACUUGCCUCCCACCCUGUUAAUGGUACCAGCUCCCUGGAAU
rnacentral:lncRNA from 1 species